GAUGAACGCUGGCGGCGUGCCUAAUACAUGCAAGUCGAGCGAACGGACGAGAAGCUUGCUUCUCUGAUGUUAGCGGCGGACGGGUGAGUAACACGUGGAUAACCUACCUAUAAGACUGGGAUAACUUCGGGAAGCCGGAGCUAAUACCGGAUGAUAUUUUGAACCGCAUGGUUCAAAAGUGAAAGACGGUCUUGCUGUCACUUAUAGAUGGAUCCGCGCUGCAUUAGCUAGUUGGUAAGGUAACGGCUUACCAAGGCAACGAUGCAUAGCCGACCUGAGAGGGGGAUCGGCCACACUGGAACUGAGACACGGUCCAGACUCCUACGGGAGGCAGCAGUAGGGAAUCUUCCGCAAUGGGCGAAAGCCUGACGGAGCAACGCCGCGUGAGUGAUGAAGGUCUUCGGAUCGUAAAACUCUGUUAUUAGGGAAGAACAUAUGUGUAAGUAACUGUGCACAUCUUGACGGUACCUAAUCAGAAAGCCACGGCUAACUACGUG
rnacentral:rRNA from 1 species